AUGCCAUGAUGAGGACAUCUUCUCAGCAACUCUUUAAAUCUUUCCGAAGCCUUAUACAAACUCUCAUCUUCAAGUUGGUGAAAAGAGGUGACCUCAUUAUGCAAUUU
rfam:Citrus sinensis cultivar Ridge Pineapple sweet orange scaffold00843_contig_5, whole genome shotgun sequence.